GGUGCUUGAAAAAGCUUAAUAGGGAAGACCGGUGAGAAGCCGGCACGGUCCCGCCACUGUAAUGCAGAGCAAACCUGAAUAUGUCACUGAGAAAUCGGGAAGACCGGGUAAGCGAAGAAGCAAAGUCAGGAGAACUGCCUGUUUGGU
rnacentral:ncRNA from 1 species